rnacentral:rRNA from 1 species
CUACGGGAGGCAGCAGUGAGGAAUAUUGGACAAUGGGCGCAAGCCUGAUCCAGCCAUGCCGCGUGCAGGAUGACGGUCCUAUGGAUUGUAAACUGCUUUUGUACAGGAAGAAACACUGGUUCGUGAACCAGCUUGACGGUACUGUAAGAAUAAGGAUCGGCUAACUCCGUGCCAGCAGCCGCGGUAAUACGGAGGAUCCAAGCGUUAUCCGGAAUCAUUGGGUUUAAAGGGUCCGUAGGCGGUUUAGUAAGUCAGUGGUGAAAGCCCAUCGCUCAACGGUGGAACGGCCAUUGAUACUGCUAAACUUGAAUUAUUAGGAAGUAACUAGAAUAUGUAGUGUAGCGGUGAAAUGCUUAGAGAUUACAUGGAAUACCAAUUGCGAAGGCAGGUUACUACUAAUGGAUUGACGCUGAUGGACGAAAGCGUGGGUAGCGAACAGGAUUAGAUACCCCGGU